CCUACGGGUGGCAGCAGUGGGGGAUAUUGCACAAUGGGGGGAACCCUGAUGCAGCGACGCCGCGUGGGUGAAGGAGCGUUUCGGCGCGUAAAGCCCUAUCGGCAGGGAAGAAAAUGACGGUACCUGACCAAGAAGCUCCGGCUAACUACGUGCCAGCAGCCGCGGGAAUACGUAGGGAGCAAGCGUUAUCCGGAUUUACUGGGGGUACAGGGGGCGUAGGCGGCAAGACAAGCCAGAUGUGAAAUCCCGGGGCCCAACCCCGGGGCUGCUCUGGGAACUGGAUGGCUGGAGUACCGGAGGGGCAGGCGGAAUUGCUAGGGUAGCGGUGAAAUGCGUAGAUAUUAGGAGGAACACCAGUGGCGAAGGCGGCCUGCUGGACUGUGACUGACGUUGAGGCUCGAAGGCGUGGGGAGCAAACAGGAUUAGAGACCCCGGUAGUC
rnacentral:rRNA from 1 species